UACGUAGGGACCUAGCGUUGUCCGGAAUCAUUGGGCGUAAAGCGCGCGUAGGCGGCCCGGUAAGUCGGUUGUAAAAGUCGAAGGCUCAACCUUCGAAAGCCGAUGGAUACUGCCGGGCUAGAGUACGGAAGAGGCGAGUAGAAUUCCUGGUGUAGCGGUGGAAUGCGCAGAUAUCAGGAGGAAUACCCAUAGCGAAGGCAGCUCGCUGGGACGUUACUGACGCUGAGGCGCGAAAGCGUGGGGAGCGAACAGG
rnacentral:rRNA from 1 species